GAGGGUAUAGCUCAGUGGUAGAGAGUGAGCUUAGCAUGCAUGAGGUCCUGGGUUCAAUUCCCAGUAUCUCCA
rnacentral:tRNA from 1 species